rfam:Homo sapiens chromosome 11, GRCh38 reference primary assembly.
CCAAAGGCUCUUUUAAGAGCCAUUACCUUUCCUGGCAGGCAGUGG